UCUGGUUGAUCCUGCCAGUAGUGAUAUGCUUGUUUCAAAGAUUAAGCCAUGCAUGUCUAAGUAUAAGCGAACUUAUACAGUGAAACUGCGGAUGGCUCAUUAAAACAGUUUGAAUUUAUUUGAUGAGUGUAUGAGAAUACUACUUGGAUAACCGUAGUAAUUCUAGAGCUAAUACAUGCAACGACGCCCGACCGUUUCACUACGGAAGGGCUGUAUUUAUUGGAUACCAAAACCAUCCUUCCCUCGGGAAGUUUUGUUUGAUGAUUCACAAUAACUGAUCGGAUCGCCACUGUGGUGGCGACAGGUCAUUCAACAUUCUGCCCUAUCAGCUUUCGAUGGUUGUGUAGUGGACAACCAUGGCCAUAACGGGUAACGGAGAAUCAGGGUUCGAUUCCGGAGAAGGAGCUUGAGAAUUGGCUACUACAUCUAAGGAAGGCAGCAGGCGCGCAAAUUACCCAAUCCCGAUUCGGGGAGGUAGUGACAAAAAAUAACAAUACCGGGCCUUUUUGGGCUUGGUAAUUGGAAUGAGGGAGAGUUAAACGGACCAUCGAGUAUCCAUUGGAGGGCAAGUCUGGUGCCAGCAGCUGCGGUAAUACCAGCUCCAAUAGCGUAUAUUAAAGUUGUUGCAGUUAAAAAGCUCGUAGUUGGACUUGUGUGCGCUGUCCGCGGGUGGCCUGCGCCCAAAAGGGCGUUUCGGUUCGGCCCCGGUGGCGCCUUGAAAUCUGCAGCUGGGGGGACGUUGGCCUUAACUGGUCGGCGACCGCACGCCGGCUGCUCGGUUACUGUGAGAAAAUUAGAGUGUUCAAGGCAGGCAUUGGGUGCAAUUGAAUACAUUAGCAUGGAAUAAUAAAAUAUGGCUCCUGCCGUAUUUUGUUGGUUUUGACUGGUGGGAGUAAUGAUUGAUAGGGACGGUUGGGGGUGCUAGUAUUGAGCGGCCAGAGGUGAAAUUCAUGGAUUCGCUCAAGACUAACUUAUGCGAAAGCAUUCACCAAGGACGUCCUCUUUAAUCAAGAACGAAAGUUGGGGGAUCGAAGACGAUCAGAUACCGUCGUAGUCUCAACCAUAAACUAUGUCGACUUGGGAUCGGCGGUAGUUUUUUCAUUAAGACACUGUCGGGACCACGGGAGAAAUCAAAGUGUCUGGACUCUGGGGGAAGUAUGGUCGCAAGGCUGAAACUUGAAGGAAUUGACGGAAGGGCACCACCAGGAGUGGAGCCUGCGGCUUAAUUUGACUCAACACGGGGAAACUUACCAGGUCCAGAGAUGUAGAGGAUUGACAGAUUGAAGCUCAUUCUUGAUCACUUCGGUGGUGGUGCAUGGCCGUUCUUAGUUGGUGGAGUGAUUUGUCUGGUUAAUUCCGC
rnacentral:rRNA from 1 species